GUCUGGUCUCCCUGGUCCAAAUUUUGCCUUCGUUUUGUCUUCAGUUAAACUGAAGAAUUCCCAAACAGCGGAGGUCUUCAGCAUCUUGUCUUGUGUUUAUGCAACGAAGUGAAGCGUGACGUCAGAGUCAGCAGCAACCCGGACAUUCAGGUGGU